rnacentral:rRNA from 1 species
CAGUAGCCGCGGUAAAACGGAGGGUGCAAGCGUUAAUCGGAAUUACUGGGCGUAAAGCGCACGCAGGCGGUCUGUCAAGUCAGAUGUGAAAUCCCCGGGCUUAACCUGGGAACUGCAUUUGAAACUGGCAGGCUAGAGUCUUGUAGAGGGGGGUAGAAUUCCAGGUGUAGCGGUGAAAUGCGUAGAGAUCUGGAGGAAUACCGGUGGCGAAGGCGGCCCCCUGGACAAAGACUGACGCUCAGGUGCGAAAGCGUGGGGAGCAAACAGGAUUAGAUACCCGAGUAGUCCCUGUCUCUUAUAC